AGAGUUUGAUCCUGGCUCAGGAUGAACGCUGGCGGCAUGCCUAAUACAUGCAAGUCGAACGGGGUGCUUGCACCCAGUGGCGAACGGGUGAGUAACACGUAUCUAACCUACCUUUUAGUGGGGGAUAACAGUUGGAAACGACUGCUAAUACCGCAUACGACACCAUUAUGGCAUCAGAAGGUGUUAAAAGGCCCGUUUGGGUCGCUAGAAGAUGGGGAUGCGGCGUAUUAGCUAGUAGGUGGGGUAAUAGCCCACCUAGGCAACGAUACGUAGCCGAACUGAGAGGUUGAUCGGCCACAUUGGGACUGAGAUACGGCCCAGACUCCUACGGGAGGCAGCAGUAGGGAAUUUUUCACAAUGGACGAAAGUCUGAUGAAGCAAUGCCGCGUGAGUGAUGACGGUCUUCGGAUUGUAAAGCUCUGUUGUAAGGGAAGAAAUACUAGAAGAGGAAAUGCUUUUAGUUUGACGGUACCUUACCAGAAAGCCACGGCUAACUAUGUGCCAGCAGCCGCGGUAAUACAUAGGUGGCAAGCGUUAUCCGGAUUUAUUGGGCGUAUAGGGUGCGUAGGCGGUUAGUUAAGUUUGAGGUCAAAGCCCGGGGCUCAACCCCGGUUCGCCUUGAAAACUGGCUGACUAGAAUACAGGAGAGGUAGAUGGAAUUCCAUGUGUAGCGGUGAAAUGCGUAGAUAUAUGGAGGAACACCAGCGGCGUAGGCGGUCUACUGGCCUGUUAUUGACGCUGAGGCACGAAAGCGUGGGGAGCAAUAGGAUUAGAUACCCUAGUAGUCCACGCCGUAAACGUUGAGUACUAAGUGUCGGCAUUAUGUCGGUGCUGCAGCUAACGCAUUAAGUACUCCGCCUGAGUAGUAUGCUCGCAGGAGUGAAACUCAAAGGAAUUGACAGGGACCCGCACAAGUGGUGGGAGCAUGUGGUUUAAUUCGAAGCAACGCGAAGAACCUUACCAGGGCUUGACAUCCAGUGCAAAGCUACAGAGAUGUAGUGGAGGUUAACAUUGAGACAGGUGUGCAUGAUUGUCGUCAGCUCGUGCGUGAGUGUGGUAAGUCCCGCACGAGCGCACCCUAUCAUAGUACUACAUCAGUGAGCACUCUAUGAGACUGCCUAGUAAGCUAGAGAAGUGGGCAUGACGUCAAUCAUUCAUGCCCUUAUGUUCCUGGGGACUA
rnacentral:rRNA from 1 species